rnacentral:rRNA from 1 species
UACGAAGGGUGCAAGCGUUAAUCGGAAUUACUGGGCGUAAAGCGCGCGUAGGUGGUUCAGCAAGUUGGAUGUGAAAGCCCUGGGCUCAACCUGGGAACUGCAUCCAAAACUACUGAGCUAGAGUACGGUAGAGGGUAGUGGAAUUUCCUGUGUAGCGGUGAAAUGCGUAGAUAUAGGAAGGAACACCGAGUGGCGAAGGCGACUACCUGGACUGAUACUGACACUGAGGUAGCGAAAGGCGU